AGAGUUUGAUCCUGGCUCAGGAUGAACGCUAGCUACAGGCUUAACACAUGCAAGUCGAGGGGCAGCAUGACGAUAGCUUGCUAUUGUUGAUGGCGACCGGCGCACGGGUGAGUAACGCGUAUCCAACCUGCCCUUGUCCAUCGGAUAACCCGUCGAAAGGCGGCCUAACACGAUAUGCAGUUCUCAGCAGGCAUCUAACGAGAACGAAAUGUGAAGGAGAAGGAUGGGGAUGCGUCUGAUUAGCUUGUUGGCGGGGUAACGGCCCACCAAGGCGACGAUCAGUAGGGGUUCUGAGAGGAAGGUCCCCCACAUUGGAACUGAGACACGGUCCAAACUCCUACGGGAGGCAGCAGUGAGGAAUAUUGGUCAAUGGACGAGAGUCUGAACCAGCCAAGUAGCGUGCAGGAUGACGGCCCUAUGGGUUGUAAACUGCUUUUAUAAGGGAAUAAAGUGAGUCUCGUGAGACUUUUUGCAUGUACCUUAUGAAUAAGGACCGGCUAAUUCCGUGCCAGCAGCCGCGGUAAUACGGAAGGUCCGGGCGUUAUCCGGAUUUAUUGGGUUUAAAGGGAGCGUAGGCCGUCUGUUAAGCGUGUUGUGAAAUGUCGGGGCUCAACCUGGGCAUUGCAGCGCGAACUGGCAGACUUGAGUGCGCAGGAAGUAGGCGGAAUUCGUCGUGUAGCGGUGAAAUGCUUAGAUAUGACGAAGAACUCCGAUUGCGAAGGCAGCCUGCUGUAGCGUAACUGACGCUGAAGCUCGAAAGCGUGGGUAUCGAACAGGAUUAGAUACCCUGGUAGUCCACGCGGUAAACGAUGGAUGCUCGCUGUUUGCGUCUGACGUAAGCGGCCAAGCGAAAGCGUUAAGCAUCCCACCUGGGGAGUACGCCGGCAACGGUGAAACUCAAAGGAAUUGACGGGGGCCCGCACAAGCGGAGGAACAUGUGGUUUAA
rnacentral:rRNA from 1 species